AGAGGGAAGAGAGUAAGUAUUUACGAUUCAUCUCCAUUAUAAGCUAUGUUUUACAAAAUUACAAAACAGCUCGUUCCAUAAACGAAAAGUUAUCAGAUGGAAGAACUUGCUGCACGGACUGGGACUUGAACAGUGAAACAUCAAGAAGUGUAAAGCACAGCGGGGAGUAGAUCUUAUUCUCUGAGCACUGUGUGAGACACAACCCUUUUACAAGAUGGAAGAGUGAUAAGCAGGGGGACACACCCGGAGGACAAAAACAACGCUGCAAAAAGGAAACGCAAAUGCUUUCAGAAAUCUUGACCGAAGGAGA